rnacentral:lncRNA from 1 species
AUUGAGCAUGCAGAGGUUGGCAACAUGGGGAGAGGAAGGCACAGUUGCUGGAAAUGGAGAAAACUAUAGUUUUGCAACAGCUGAGGGGAGGAUCACCCUGCAGAUGUGUCUUUUGUUAGAGGAAUACAACUACUAUCAACUCAUGGCCUUACAAGGAAGGAGCCAGGAGAAUACUUACCAGAUUUCUCUCUCCUCCCAGUCUCUACUCCAGCUAGUGUCUCUCCUUGGUCAAACUCAGUCAGCUCCCCUGGGAUGGUGCAAUCCACAGAGCUUCCUGGAGAAAACCUGCUCAUCUAUCAAGGCUCAGUUCAAGAAUCACCCCUCUGAAGACUUUCAUGCUGCUCAGUUGGAGAAAUCUUGUCAUUUCCUUUAUUGCACUUACUGGUUAGUAGGUCUGGUUCAUCACAAUGCAGAAUGGGGUUCUGAUAGAUGUCCUGGAUUCAGGUCCCAGCUAUGCCACCUACUAAAUGUGAGACUUUUGUCAGUCUCAAAGCCUAAAUUUACUCAACUGUACAAUGGGGAUAAUAGUCUCACUUACUUCAAAAUGCCAUUGGGAGGAUUCAUUCAGAUAAUACUUAUAAAGCACUCAAUACCUGCCACUUACUGGGUGCUAGUUGUUUUGGGGGUGAUGAAGGAGCGUUGCUAGACUGUGUGGUCCUUGGUGAUGUAGCUCUGCUUCACCUGUCUUUAUAUUUGUAAUGUCUAAAACAAAUGAAUGCUGUUACUCCUUGCUUUGACCAUUAAAAUAUUUCCCAAUCUCCUAAUAACCCUGAUGUCCCAGUGAUCGAAAACAUGAAGUACUAGAAUUGCUCUGCGCCCUCACCCACAUUCACCCUAUCUUGCAAAACUUUUUCACAUUUCUUCAAUCCACACUCUCUCCUCUGUCCUCAUUUCUUGCCCAGACUAUAAAAAAGGCUCCUAAAUUGUCUUGCAGACUAUUUCUUCACUCCUCUCCAAUUCACUUUUCAUGCUAAAGACUGAAUGAUCUUUCAAAGUCAAUCUGAUAAAAUCACUUCUUUCUUGCUUCAACUCUUCAAUGACUUCCCAUUGCCUUCCAGGGAAAACCCAACUUCCUCAGCCUUGCAUUCCUGUCCUUCAGGACGUGACAUUGUCCAUUACUCCAACGUCAUUUUGCAUGACUCUUCUGGGCUCCACUUCUAAGAAAUGCUUGCAAUUCCCC